UGCACCCUUUUUCUCCAAACACAGGUGGGGCAAUGAGGCAAAUUCCCCUUCUCCCACCAAACGCAGGUGGAGUAAAGAGACCAAUCCUCCAACAACAAGCGGGCCUAUCGGUCUGGGAACAGAUGGCUGUGCCAUGCUUGAGCUUUCUCAGGACUUUUCCUUGGUUUCUGUCUGCAGAUGAAGGAAAACAUGAUCAAAGAUGUGACUCACACUAACCAAAUCCCACCAGAGAUGUUGGAUACAAAGGAGGAUUGAAGUAAAAUUCUUUUUUUUUUUUAAAUAAAAAAAAAUGCAAAGGAAACUGAGGUGCCAACAUGUUAGGAGCAAAAAAUCCCGAAAAACAAAAGGAUUGCUGUUCUGCUGCUACGAUUCAAACACCUCAGAGAUGAAGAGGAUCCAAGAUGGAAGCUUUAGUUGAUGCUGUCAUAUCUGUGUAGCACUGCGGGUUCAACUCAAGGUUACCAGGUUCUUAGUGGCAUCAUUGCACCUGCCACAGAAGGAAGACGACGUGGAUUUAACAUUGUCCACAAACUGGUAUCCCACAGGGUUCUGUCAGUGGACCGCUAUCGUUAUCUUUUCUAACAAUUUGGCUUUGUUCAUAAACUGAGUGGUGUAAAAUUUUAGGAGUGCUAUGAGACAUCCAUAUGAAGGUAGAGCACGAGGCUCUGGGAAAAUUAGAAAUGGUCGUGAACAGGUCAUUUGGAAGUAUUAUAGCUAUAUCACCUCCUCCCACUGGUGAGAAAAGGCUUUUUUCUUCCUUUAAUUAUAGGUUCACACCAACA